rnacentral:rRNA from 1 species
AUUGAACGCUGGCGGCAGGCCUAACACAUGCAAGUCGAACGAGUGGCGGACGGGUGAGUAAUGUCUGGGAAACUGCCCGAUGGCGGGGGAUAACUACUGGAAACGGUAGCUAAUACCGCAUACCAUCGGAUGUGCCCAGAUGGGAUUAGCUCGUGGGUGGGGUAACGGCUCACCUAGGCGACGAUCCCUAGCUGGUCUGAGAGGAUGACCAGCCAGACUGGAACGGAGCGACGGUCCAGACUCCUACGGGCGGCAGCAGUGGGGAAUAGUGCACAAUGGGCGAAAGCCUGAUGCAGCCAUGCCGCGUGUAUGAAGAAGGCCUUCGGGUUGUAAAGUACUUUCAGCGAGGAGGCGUUACUCGCAAAAGAAGCACCGGCUAACUCCGUGCCAGCAGCCGCGGUAAUAC